rnacentral:miRNA from 1 species
UAAGGGGCCAAAUAAAGGGGGGG